CCAGACUCCUACGGGAGGCAGCAGUGAGGAAUAUUGGUCAAUGGCCGGAAGGCUGAACCAGCCAAGCCGCGUGAGGGAGGAAGGCGCAGAGCGUCGCAGACCUCUUUUGCCGGGGGACAAAAGGCCGGACUCGUCCGGUCCUGAGGGUACCCGGAGAAAAAGCAUCGGCUAACUCCGUGCCAGCAGCCGCGGUAAUACGUAGGGAGCAAGCGUUAUCCGGAUUUAUUGGGUGUAAAGGGUGCGUAGACGGGAAGGCAAGUUGGUUGUGAAAUCCCUCGGCUUAACUGAGGAACUGCAACCAAAACUAUCUUUCUUGAGUGCUGGAGAGGAAAGUGGAAUUCCUAGUGUAGCGGUGAAAUGCGUAGAUAUUAGGAGGAACACCAGUGGCGAAGGCGACUUUCUGGACAGUAACUGACGUUGAGGCACGAAAGUGUGGGGAGCAAACAGGAUUAGAUACCCCUGUAC
rnacentral:rRNA from 1 species